UAAACUUUGAUAAACGAGAAACGUUAUUAGUUUUUAGCUUUUCAGUUUACCUUUAGUGAACAAAUCAUUUUGUGACACACCAAUGUCGUAGUAAUAAAACCUCUAAAAAUAUAUAGACGGGAUAUUUAGUUCUUAUAUCAAUUCGAAUAGAGUGCAUACAAGACAUAAAGCAAAAUUUUAACCGUAUGGCAAAAAAGCACUUACUGUGAUAAAUAUCUUGUAACUUCCAUAGUAUGCAAUUAUAUUGGGGUGUCUACAAUCCUUCAUCAUAAGUAUUUCCUGCUGUAUGAUUCCAAAGUCAUCUCCUACAAAGAGAUGUAAUAAUUGCACAAAAUUUGACCCUCACGUUGAUGGUUUACAACUUACCAGCUUCCAAUUUAAUAACCUUAAUUGCAGCCAGGUCAUUUGUGGAUAAUCUUUUGGCCUGAAACAAUAAUUAGAAUGUAAUAAAUUAAUAAUAAAUUGAGAUGUAAAUUGC